CCCAGCAGCAGCAGCAGCAGUUCCUGUAGGAGCCCGGGCGGCAGGACGGGAAUAGGAGCGCUGGGAACAGUAAAGUCCACUCGGAUCAGAUUAACAUGACUAUCUAACUCUGUCGCAUCUACGCACUACCAGAGUAGAUUCAACAUGACUUCUACAAAUAAAGGCAGAUUCAUCAUUUGUCUUUGGAGAUUCACAUACAUUUGAAUACCUUCCUAUGUGGAGAAAGAAAAGAGAAAAACUAAGAAAGGUGAAUUUAAACAUAAUUGAUGGCAAUUGGGAAACUUAAUACAAAUUCAUCUUCAUUUAAAAGAUAAUGGAAGCAUCCACCCUUCCUAGAACUGGCAGGAGCACCCUCAAGUAUGCUGUACAGCUCCAGGUCUGGAGAGAGUGGAGGAAUACUUACCAGCCCCAGACCUGCUCUGCUGGUCUCCUGCCUGAUGACAUCAGACACAGAAAGAGGAGAAUCCCAGAGACACAGAGGUCCACUGCCAGAGCUGCUGCUGGUUGGGCAACCCAGGAGAGCCUGUUAAAAGACAAUUGCUGAUUCCUUGGACCAUCAUGGCUAAAACAACACUAUAACCUUACUGAAAGGUUAAAGCAGGAGUAUCAGGAACAUUGAGAGUCAUCUAGUCAAAACCCCUGCAGGAUGGUUCUUAAAACAUUGCUAAGAGAUGUCUAUGCAGGCUCUUUUUUAAUAUACCCAUUGACAGAGAUUCAACAAUUUCCCUUUGCAUCAUGUUCCAUUUUCCUAUCAUUCUUACAGCGAGUAAAUUAUGCCUGAGAUUGAA